UACACUUUAAAUCCUUUAACGAGGUUCUAUUGGAGGGCAAGUCUGGUGCCAGCAGCCGCGGUAAUUCCAGCUCCAAUAGCGUAUAUUAAAGUUGUUGCGGUUAAAAAGCUCGUAGUUGGAUCUCGGUUUCACUCAGGUGGUACACCUUGCGGUGUUCACUGUCUGGGCGGACGUUUCUGUUGGUUCGCUGUUGGUUCUCUUAAUCGAGUGCCAAUUGGUGGCCAGCACGUUUACUUUGAAAAAAUUGGAGUGCUCAAAGCAGGCGUUACAGCCUGAACAUUAGUGCAUGGAAUAAUGGAAUAGGAUCUCGAUUCUAUUUCGUUGGCUUUCGGAGUCGAGGUAAUGAUUAAUAGGGACAGACGGGGGCAUUCGUACUGCGACGUUAGAGGUGAAAUUCUUGGAUCGUCGCAAGACGAACUACUGCGAAAGCAUUUGCCAAGAAUGUUUUCAUUAAUCAAGAACGAAAGUUAGAGGUUCGAAGGCGAUCAGAUACCGCCCUAGUUCUAACCAUAAACGAUGCCAACCGGCGAUCCGUCGUCGUUAAUUGAAUGACUCGACGGGCAGCCUCCGGGAAACCAGAGUGUUUGGGUUCCGGGGGAAGUAUGGUUGCAAAGCUGAAACUUAAAGGAAUUGACGGAAGGGCACCACCAGGAGUGGAGCCUGCGGCUUAAUUUGACUCAACACGGGAAAUCUCACCAGGCCCGGACACCGGAAGGAUUGACAGAUUGAGAGCUCUUUCUUGAUUCGGUGGGUGGUGGUGCAUGGCCGUUCUUAGUUGGUGGAGCGAUUUGUCUGGUUAAUUCCGAUAACGAACGAGACUCUGGCCUACUAACUAGAAGGGUCGUUCUUUACGAGCGGCCCUCUGCUUCUUAGAGGGACGGGCGGCGUUUAGCCGCACGAGAAUGAGCAAUAACAGGUCUGUGAUGCCCUUAGAUGUUCUGGGCUGCACGCGCGCUACACUGAAGGAAUCAGCAUGUUCUCCCCUCCCUGAAAAGGGCGGGUAACCCGUUGAAACUCCUUCGUGAUGGGGAUUGGAGAUUGUAAUUAUUCUCCAUGAACGAGGAAUUCCCAGUAGGCGCGAGUCAUCAGCUUGCGUCGAUUACGUCCCUGCCCUUUGUACACACCGCCCGUCGCUACUACCGAUCGAGUGAUUUAGUGAGGACUUCGGACUGGUCUCCAAGUUGGCUUCGGUCAGCUCGGAGUUCCGGAAAGAUGCCCAAACUUGAUCACUUAGAGGAAGUAAAAGUCGUA
rnacentral:rRNA from 1 species